UACGUAGGGGGCAAGCGUUGUCCGGAUUUAUUGGGCGUAAAGAGCUCGUAGGCGGCUUGUCGCGUCGACUGUGAAAACCCGCGGCUCAACCGUGUGGCGGGCAGUUGAUACGGGCAGGCUAGAGUUCGGUAGGGGAGACGUGGAAUUCCGGUGUGAGCGGUGAAAUGCGCAGAGUAUCAGGAGGAACACCCGUGGCGAAGGCGGCCCUCUGGCUCGACCCUGACGCUGAGAGGCGAAAGCGUGGGGAGCGAACGGG
rnacentral:rRNA from 1 species